GUAACCCCGCUUCAGAAGUGUUGUAGUUACAUAGGGACAGUAUUUUGGACGCCGGAAGGCGAUAAAAGCCGACAAGGGUCUGCUUCGCCACAAGACGAGGCGAGCGGCGAGGCGCUUGCCUUUUUGAAUAAAGGCGCCAAUUAAUACCAAAAAUUAAAAAUAUUUAACUGCAUAUUUUAUCCAAAAUCUUAAUAGCAAUAACACAUAUUAGCAAAUAUUCAAUUCAAAAACUAAUAGUAGAUACUAAAAUGUCUAAAACUUUAAUGACCAAACAAUUCAAAAUACAAUAAACCAAAACUUUAAAAGUCUAUUCUUUCUUCAAAAUUAUCCAACCCUUGAGUGUCAUAAUUCCAUCCAAUGUCCCUCUUUUGCUAGCAACCACCAUUGAUUAUUAAAUUCAAUUAAUUCGCUGUUUAGGAAUAUUGAAAUAAAUAAUUAGGAAAAUGGAAAGAUUUUUUUUUAAAUUAACUGCCUAUAAUUAAAAAAAGUAAAUUACACAAAGCAGUAAGCAACUAAG
rnacentral:misc_RNA from 1 species